rnacentral:lncRNA from 1 species
UUCCUGGAUGUUUUGAGUUAGGAUCUUUUUGUGUUUUGUAUUUUUCUUUGAUUGUUUUUGCCGAUGUUCUCUAUGGAAUCUUCUGCACCUGAGAUUCUCUCUUCCAUCUCUUGUAUUCUGUUGCUGAUGCUCGCAUCUAUGAUUACAGUUUUCUUUCCUAGGUUUUCUAUCUUCAGCGUUGCCUCACUUUGGGUUUUCUUUAUUGCGUAUAUUUCCCUUUUUAGGUCUAGUAUGGUUUUGUUCAUUUCCAUCACCUGUUUGGUUGUGUUUUCCUGUUUAUCUUUAUGGACUUCUACGUGUUUGAUUGUGUUUUACAGUUUUUCUUUAAGGACUUGUAACUCUUUAGCAGUGUUCUCCUUUAUUUUUUAAGUGAGUUAUUAAAAUCCUUCUUGAUGUCCUCUACCAUCAUCAUGAGAUAUGCUUUUAUAUCUUGGUUUAGCUUUUUGGUUGGGUUGGGGUGCCCAGGACUAGGUGGGGUGGGAGUGCUGCAUUAUGAUGAUGGUGAGUGGUCUUGAUUUCUGUUAGUAGGAUUCUUAAGUUUGCCUUUUGCCAUCUGGUAAUCUCUGGAGCUAGUUGUUAUAGUUGUCUCUGGCUAGAGCUUGUUCCUCAGGCGAUUCUUUUAGCCUCUAUCAACAGACUUGGGAGACUAGCUCUCUCCUCUGAGAUUCAGUGGUCAGAGCACUCUCUGUAGGCAAGUUCUCCUCUUACAGGAAAGGUGCACAGAUAUCUGGCCUUAGGACCUCCCUCCUGGCCAAAGACGAAGGCCUUUCUGGAAGCUGAGUUGCUUUGGCCUUUCCCAAAGCUUUUAGCUUCUGUAUUCCUUACUCUCACCUGUGCAGAAUACACUAGGUGGGGUCCCAGAACCAAGAUGUCUGUGCUGAUGCUCAGGCAAAGCGCUCCCACACCAGGCAGAUCCCUUUCCCCUGGCUGGGAAAGUGGCCGGAUGUCUGGGGACUAUGUAGAAUACUCUUGGCUGGGUCCCGGAACCAAGAUGUCUGCUGCCGAUUCUCAGGCAAAGCGCUCCCAUGCCAGGGUGGGGGGGAACCCUAAACUCUGCCCAGUCCAGGCAAGAAGAUCUCAAUGUCACUAGGAAAAGAAAAAGAAAAGAAUCUGUUCCACCCUCUUCCAUAGCCCAGAGUCAGAUUUGCUCUAAAACUCCAUGUGAUAUUUCUGGUCUUUGGGAUGUCAAGUUGGUGAAGAAAGCCAAGACUAUGAUGAAGAAAGCUCAGAAGAAGAUGAAUCACUUGGGGAAGAAAGGGGAAGCAGAUAGGCAUGUGCUUGAUAUGAAGGCCAAAGAAAGCUGGUAAACAGGACAUGAGAUAAUGCCCUCUUCCGUUGUUACAGUUUAACUAGACUCUUGAUUAUUUUGGGGUGUGGUAAGGUGUGUUUAUAGAAUCUGUAAUCACCAUCUGUUAACCAAAAGAAACAAGAGUAAUGACAUUUAUUUAUUUAUUUAUUUAUUUAUUUAUUUAUUUAGGAAUGGCUUUUAAAUGCUUGUUGCUUUGCUGAAAACUGGUAAAGCUGACUAAGUGUGCAGCGCUGUGGUCACUGUGCAGUUCGGAUGUUUACAUACAGAGUGUUCUGUACUUGAUGAGUUUCUUUCAACAUUUUACAGAAAAGACUUAUUGGUGUAAGGAGGCUGCUUGGGUGGGGGAAAAACUGUAGUGGGAUUCUUGUCACCCAAAGAACCUAUUUUUGUUAAGAAAGUAUCCCUCCUGGGAAGUCUAAGCAGAAGCCUCCCCUCCUUACAUUUAUGGUGUAUCAGAGCUUAAACUACUCUCUUAAAUUAUUUUCUAAACCUGUAUUACAAUGUAUUAUUGCAACUCCAACCAUUUUAUCCAAAGUAAACAUCCAGCAAAAACAUAGUUUGAUUACUUAACAUUUUGUUUGAUUUAAUUGCAAGACACUUGAGGGCCAAAAGAAGGUGGGGCAGGAAAUAGGACUUUGUUUUUUUGUUCUUAGAGCAGAAAUAUUUUUUUUUUUAAAAAGGAAAUAAGUGGCUAGGGUAUGGGUUCAAAACAACAACAAAAAAAAAGACUUCUUUCAUAAACAAUUGCAGAAUUAAGAUUGAUGUCCCAGAAAGUACAGAACCAUCUAUGAGAGGGACCCUGGUCUACUUGGAGCUACAGCCUGUCCACAGAUUAGAAGAUUCUCUUCAAACUGUCAGUGCUUCCUCUUAGAGUUACAGCUUCUGACUUUUAUCAAAAUCCAAAAACUUACCAAUGUAUUACAUACUCUAUCCUAAAAUUAUAUGGACUCAAUUGAGAA